GCAGGAUAGCUCUGUUAGUAGAGCAUGAGACUCUGAACCUCAGGGUUAUGGGUUUGAGCCCCACAUUGAGCA